AUUGAACGCUGGCGGCAUGCCUUACACAUGCAAGUCGAACGGCAGCACGGGUGCUUGCACCUGGUGGCGAGUGGCGAACGGGUGAGUAAUACAUCGGAACAUGUCCUGUAGUGGGGGAUAGCCCGGCGAAAGCCGGAUUAAUACCGCAUACGAUCUACGGAUGAAAGCGGGGGACCUUCGGGCCUCGCGCUAUAGGGUUGGCCGAUGGCUGAUUAGCUAGUUGGUGGGGUAAAGGCCUACCAAGGCGACGAUCAGUAGCUGGUCUGAGAGGACGACCAGCCACAUUGGGACUGAGACACGGCCCAGACUCCUACGGGAGGCAGCAGUGGGGAAUGUUGGACAGUGGGCGAAAGCCUGAUCCAGCAAUGCCGCGUGUGUGAAGAAGGCCUUCGGGUUGUAAAGCACUUUUGUCCGGAAAGAAAUCCUUGGCCCUGAUACGGUCGGGGGAUGACGGUACCGGAAGAAUAAGCACCGGCCAACUACGUG
rnacentral:rRNA from 1 species